rnacentral:rRNA from 1 species
GAUCCUGGCUCAGAUUGAACGCUGGCGGCAGGCUUAACACAUGCAAGUCGAGCGGUAACACUUCGGGUGACGAGCGGCGGACGGGUGAGUAAUACAUAGGAAUCUGCCUAGUAGUGGGGGAUAACGUAGGGAAACUUACGCUAAUACCGCAUACAUCCUACGGGGGAAAGCAGGGGAUCUUCGGACCUUGCGCUAUUAGAUGAGCCUAUGUCGGAUUAGCUAGUUGGUGAGGUAAAGGCUCACCAAGGCGACGAUCCGUAGCUGGUCUGAGAGGAUGAUCAGCCACACUGGGACUGAGACACGGCCCAGACUCCUACGGGAGGCAGCAGUGGGGAAUAUUGGACAAUGGGCGCAAGCCUGAUCCAGCCAUGCCGCGUGUGUGAAGAAGGCCUUAGGGUUGUAAACUGCUUUUAUCUGGGAAGAAAAGUCGGGAUUUAUCCUGAUCUGACGGUACCAGAGGAAUAAGCACCGGCUAACUCCGUG